AAGCUGAGAUAUCUGAACACCAUCAAACAUUGAAGAUCUCUGAAAAACUAAAGGAAAUGUCGGAUAUCUCUGAACGACUAAAGCCACAGUGUGUAAGUACUUGCAGCUGAAGCAACAGGAG